rnacentral:rRNA from 1 species
UGGGGAAUCUUGCGCAAUGGGCGAAAGCCUGACGCAGCGACGCCGCGUGAGUGAUGAAGGCCUUCGGGUUGUAAAGCUCUGUGGGGAGAGAAGAAUAAGUGCGGGCUAAUACCCCGCAUGAUGACGGUAUCUCCUUAGCAAGCACCGGCUAACUCUGUGCCAGCAGCCGCGGUAAGACAGAGGGUGCAAACGUUGUUCGGAAUUACUGGGCGUAAAGCGAGUGUAGGCGGUUUGGUAAGUCGGAUGUGAAAGCCCCGGGCUCAACCCGGGAAGUGCAUUCGAUACUGCCAAGCUAGAGUAUCGGAGAGGUUGGUGGAAUUCUCGGUGUAGAGGUGAAAUUCGUAGAUAUCGAGAGGAACACCGGUGGCGAAGGCGGCCAACUGGACGAAUACUGACGCUGAGACUCGAAAGCGUGGGGAGCAAACAGGAUUAGAUACCCGCGUAGUCCCUGAGCGGGCUGGCAAGGCGCAU